GAUGAACGCUGGCGGCGUGCUUAACACAUGCAAGUCGAACGGGAAACUUUUCAUUGAAGCUUCGGCAGAUUUGGUCUGUUUCUAGUGGCGGACGGGUGAGUAACGCGUGGGUAACCUGCCUUAUACAGGGGGAUAACAACCAGAAAUGGUUGCUAAUACCGCAUAAGCGCACAGGACCGCAUGGUCCGGUGUGAAAAACUCCGGUGGUAUAAGAUGGACCCGCGUUGGAUUAGCUGGUUGGCAGGGUAACGGCCUACCAAGGCGACGAUCCAUAGCCGGCCUGAGAGGGUGAACGGCCACAUUGGGACUGAGACACGGCCCAGACUCCUACGGGAGGCAGCAGUGGGGAAUAUUGCACAAUGGGGGAAACCCUGAUGCAGCGACGCCGCGUGAAGGAAGAAGUAUCUCGGUAUGUAAACUUCUAUCAGCAGGGAAGAUAGUGACGGUACCUGACUAAGAAGC
rnacentral:rRNA from 1 species